AAGCAUUCCAAGAACCCCUGGUCCUGGGCCCUGCUCUAGAUGAGGGAAUAAAGAGUUGCCUGAAGACUUGGCUUUCCAGUUGGCCUUCAAACGGAGACCAGAAAGUGACCCAGGAGUUACGUUCCAGACACCAGCUGGCUCCAAUUCGGCGUCCUAGAGGGAGCUGAGCCCAACAGUGGGUCACUUUUCAGAGGAUGGCCCUGUGACGCCGCUCCGAGGACAGCCUGCUUUGAUCUCCAGUGGGCAUUUUCACCCUCGUGGAAACCUCUGGGGCCAUAGUCCCUGACAAUGGGUCUCAGUGUCUAUUAAAACCUUUUUCCCAAGCUGUC